rnacentral:lncRNA from 1 species
CUGGACUAAAGAGAUAUUCUAAGAUAUUUCAAUUUCUUUAAUUGAGAAACUUGCAACAAAUUAAAACUUCAACCAGUUUUUGUUUUAACUGUAUUUUUAAAGUACUAAAAAAAAAAAGAAAUACUAUUUAUCAUUAAAUAUUGUAAAAUUAAGAUAAAUUACACAGGAUGUAUAAUAUAUGCAUAUACAUACAUAUAGAUAGAUAGAUAGAUAGAUAUAGAGAUGAUGAGAGAGAGAGAGAGAGAUACUACUAAUGGAUAACAAUAUAAAUCAAGGCAUGCACGGGGGCGCUCCCUGUGUGCACUACUUUGAGCUGAUCAUGUAUAACAUUUAAGACUGUUUCAUAAAUACACCUCUUCAAAUCUGCAUGGACACAGACGUGCACGGACAUGGAAUAUCCAACUAGUGAAUAGUCUACCUCUUGCCUUUUAAAUAAAAUGAAAUUUGAACCACUCCAUGUAUGCAAAUAUCUCAUAUCCCGCCUAUAAAAGAGAAUAAAAAAUAUAAAAAGAACAAAAAUAGACCCAAGAAAUCAGGAGGAAAAAGAACAGUUCAUUAUAAAUGGGGUGCAACUCAAUUCUCCUUCUCUAAAUGAGAAUUUAGUUACCAAACUCCACUAAGACUUAACCAUUUAAUGACUCAGUUAAUUAUAGUUCCUGUGUGAAACGUUCGAUUAAAAAUGAACUUCUAAAUCAGGUGAUAAUUAUUUUCUCACUGGUUGUCCAACACUAAUUCUAAGCACUCGAAGAGAGACAGAAAGGAAAAUUCUAGUUUUAUCUUGCUGAACAUCGGCAAGCUGUAAAACCUGUAGUAGUAUACAUACAUAUAUACUUCCAUAUGAAAUGGAUAUAAUUAUGGUAUAACUGGACUGGCGCAGCAGAGAAUACAGUGUGUAUUAGUCAUUAUUACUUACAAGGUAAAUGCAGCCAGAUUGCUCCCCAGUAAGAUUGCUUUUGUACGUCGAAAAUCCUGAUUAACACUGUCCAACUUGGCACAAAUUCAGAAUCAGAGGCAGUCUACAAUAUGGCAUAAAAGAGUAAAUGAGGUCGUAGGCCAUGUACUGAAUGGCCUAAAGGCCUAUAUAAAGGGAUCUCUUAUUGUUCUUUCAGAAUUACAGAAGAAAAGUUAUUUUCGGUAUGUCAUGUGUGAUUCUAACAGCAACAGAAAGAAUUUCCAUCGUACACUUGUAAAAUUCACGAUCCAAAAAUAAGUUUUGCAAUAUCAGCAGUAAUUUUUCUUUCUUUUUUUUGGAGAAACAUGCAUCAUACAAUAAUGAACCCAAAUCUGGUAGAUCGUGAGGCCUACCUUCAUAAAUCAAGCCAUGUAGCAAAAAUAAAUUCUAUCAGUCACAAUUUCCAACCUGAAUAAUCAAAAACUCGAAUUCUAUCAUAUCCAUGGUAUAAAUAUUUAUUUACAAAAAGAAAAAGAAAAAGAAAAAGAAAAAGAAACCAUAUUCAUCAAGUAGCACCAAGUAUGCUUGUCUUAGUGCUGAACUAUGUGACUCAUCGCGUGAUUUCCAACAAUUCAGCUACAUUAGUAAAUCUAUAUACUAUAAUAAGGAACUUUUGAGAGCUUUAGGACUAUAAGUUCAAAACUGAAAGGUGGGAAUUAGCAAUUGAAGAACUAGGAUCAAGGACCAUCUUAUUAUCUGAAAAAGGGGUCCACCACGAAGCGCUUACAAAUUGAUCAGAGUUAACUUAUUGCAAUCCAUGUACAAGGAGUCUACAAAUUAACUAAAAUAAAGCAACUGCGACAUGAUUACAGAACUGCAACUAUUGGUCAAGGGACACAACACAACCAUACCAAUGGAAAAUGACCAUGAUGUUGAAAGUGAUGAAAAAUCUCAUCUGCUCCCUGUAAAUCACCCCCUUCAAAUCAUCUAAUGAGAAGCUCCGGCAAAGGAACUCAAUGAACUGAUCACAGAUUCGUAAACCUUGAUUCCUUUCAGGUAUAUGGUGUCCUUAAGGAACUGUAGAACAUAGUUAAGUAAGAAAAGAACCAANN